AAAGAGUGCGUAAUAGCUCACUGGUCGAGUGGUGGUGCGCCGAAAAUGAACGGGGCUAAAAUCAGGCACCGAAGCGAUGGAUUGUACCGUAAGGUACAGUGGUAGGGGAGCAAUCUCUUAGGGGCGAAGCCAUUUCGUAAGGGAUGGUGGACUUAAGAGAAGAGAGAAUGUUGGCAUGAGUAGCGAAAGUGAAGUGAGAAUCUUCACCAUCGAAAGCCCAAGGUUUCCUGAGGAAGGCUCGUCCGCUCAGGGUUAGUCGGGGCCUAAGCCGAGGUCAAAAGACGUAGGCGAUGGACAACUGGUUGAAAUUCCAGUACUACCUCAAAGCGUUUGAGAAAUGGAGUGACACAGAAGGAUAAGCGAACCCGGCCGUUGGAAGAGCCGGGGCAAGCAGUAAGGCUGCAGCGGGAGGCAAAUCCCCCCAUUGCAUAAGGCUAAGCUGUGAUGCGGAACGAAAAAUAAGUAGGGAAGUCGCCGAUUUCACGCUGUCAAGAAAAGCUUCUAUCGAGCUGCGAGGUACCCGUACCGUAAACCGACACAGGUAGGCGAGGAGAGAAUCCUAAGAUGAGCGGGAGAAGUGUUGUUAAGGAACUCGGCAAAAUGACUCCGUAACUUCGGGAGAAGGAGUGCCCCUUCGGGGGCCGCAGAGAAGAGGCUCAAGCGACUGUUUAGCAAAAACACAGGUCUCUGCUAAAUCGAAAGAUGACGUAUAGGGGCUGACGCCUGCCCGGUGCUGGAAGGUUAAGGGGAGUGCUUAGCGUAAGCGAAGGUGCGAACUUAAGCCCCAGUAAACGGCGGCCGUAACUAUAACGGUCCUAAGGUAGCGAAAUUCCUUGUCAGGUAAGUUCUGACCCGCACGAAAGGCGUAACGAUUUGAGCGCUGUCUCGACAACACACCCGGUGAAAUUGUAGUACUCGUGAAGAUGCGAGUUACCCGCGACAGGACGGAAAGACCCCGUAGAGCUUUACUGUAGUCUGGCAUUGAGUUUUGAUAUAACAUGUACAGGAUAGGUGGGAGGCAGAGAAGCAUGCACGCCAGUGUGUGCCGAGCCAUUGUUGGGAUACCACUCUUGUUAUAUUGGAAUUCUAACGCGUUGCCGUUACCCGGCAAGCGGACAGUGUCAGAUGGGCAGUUUGACUGGGGCGGUCGCCUCCUAAAAAGUAUCGGAGGCGCCCAAAGUUACCCUCAGGAUGGUUGGAAACCAUCUGUAAGAGUGCAAAGGCAGAAGGGUGAUUGACUGCGAGAGAGACAUCUCGAGCAGAGACGAAAGUCGGGCUUAGUGAUCCGGUGGUUCCGAGUGGAAGGGCCAUCGCUCAACGGAUAAAAGCUACCUCGGGGAUAACAGGCUUAUCUCCCCCAAGAGUCCACAUCGACGGGGAGGUUUGGCACCUCGAUGUCGGCUCGUCUCAUCCUGGGGCUGAAGCAGGUCCCAAGGGUUGGGCUGUUCGCCCAUUAAAGAGGCACGCGAGCUGGGUUCAGAACGUCGUGAGACAGUUCGGUCCCUAUCCGUCGUGGGCGUAAGAUAUUUGAAAGGAGCUGUUCCUAGUACGAGAGGACCGGAAUGGACAAACCGCUGGUGCACCAGUUGUUCCGCCAGGAGCAUCGCUGGGUAG
rnacentral:rRNA from 1 species